rnacentral:rRNA from 1 species
CCCUUAGAUGUUCUGGGCCGCACGCGCGCUACACUGAUGCAUUCAACGAGUUUCUUCCUGGUCCGAGAGGAAUGGGUAACCUUUUGAAAGUGCAUCGUGAUAGGGAUAGACUAUUGCAAUUAUUGGUCUUCAACGAGGAAUUCCUAGUAGACGUAGUUCAUCAGACUGCAUCGAUUACGUCCCUGCCCUUUGUACACACCGCCAGUCGCUCCUACCGAUUGAAUGCUCAGGUGAGCCAUUCGGACUUUCAUCAUGCUGGUUUCCAGUUUUGAUGAAGGAAAGUCUUGCGAACCUUAUCAUUUAGAGGAAGGAGAAGUCGUAACA